rnacentral:tRNA from 1 species
UGGGUCGUAGCCAAGUGGUAAGGCGGCGAACUUUGACUCCGCAAAACAGAGGUUCGAUCCCUCUCGAUCCAG